AAAAAAAAAAAACAAAAAAAAACAAAAACAAAAACCCACCAUGACCUACAUCUUGUUGGGCUCUCUCCCCAUCGUGGUUAUUAAGACUUAAUUUGGUAUUGAGAUCUAUCUGAUGUUGUUAGAUAAAAUAGAGUUAGGAAAAAAUAUAUAGGAAUAUACUUUUGCGUUCUCCGGUAGGACCGCAGAAAAUAUAUUAUAACCGACUCAUCGCAAUAUGCGGAACGCAAUAUUACGUACAAAAACAAACAAGAUAUUUUUCUAUCGGAGUUUCUCACCACACGUAACGCAAUCUUUCUAGAGUUAGGAAAAAAAUAUAUAGGAAUAUACUUUUGCGUUCUCCGGUAGAACCGCAGAAAAUAUAUUAUAACCGACUCAUCGCAAUAUGCGGAACGCAAUAUUACGUACAAAAACAAACAAGAUAUUUUUCUAUCAGAGUUUCUCACCGCACGUAACGCAAUCUUCCUACAAUUCCAAUGAAGCCUAAGUUUUAGUUGGCCUAUUUUGUUUUAAAAAAAAAUUAUUGCAUAUUAU
rnacentral:lncRNA from 1 species